rnacentral:rRNA from 1 species
CACGUAGGGGGCAAGCGUUGUCCGGAUUUAUUGGGCGUAAAGAGCUCGUAGGUGGUUCGAUAAGUCGGGUGUGAAACCUCCAGGCUCAACCUGGAGACGCCACCCGAUACUGUCGUGACUAGAGUCCAGUAGGGGAGCGUGGAAUUCCUGGUGUAGCGGUGAAAUGCGCAGAUAUCAGGAGGAACACCAGCGGCGAAGGCGGCGCUCUGGGCUGGCACUGACACUGAGGAGCGAAAGCUAGGGGAGCAAACGGG